rnacentral:tRNA from 1 species
GGUUUCGUAGCUCAAUAGGUAGAGCGCGUGGCCGAAGACCACGGCAGUAUUGGUUCAAUUCCAGUCGAAACCACCA